UAUAAAGGUCAGAUAAGAUGAUGUAUAAAAAAGGGCUCUGAUCUCGUCUGAUCUCAGAAGCUAAGCAGGGUUGGGCCUAGUUGGUACUUGGAUGGGAGACCAUGUAGGAAUACCAGGUGCUGUAGGCA
rnacentral:rRNA from 1 species